GAGCAGUUCGCCGUGAUACACGACGAGAUUGUUCGGAUGGUGGUUACCUUACUUAUGGACGCGUUUGGGCCAAUACUGAGUCAGCCCUCAACUACUCAGGUAUGCCAUUCGUUUUAAAUUCAAGUAUAUAUUCUGCAUGUUAUUUAAUUUUUAUUUAGUUAUCUUUAACUGUAUUAUAUAUAUGGACUAAUGAGUUACAUUAUAUUGUAUCAACAGGGUGAUGAGCGGGCUGACGAUGCUGAGCGGUUAGACGACAACGGCCUGUGACUUAGUUUUGUAGAUGAUGUGUACGUAUUUACUUAGUUUUUAGCUUAAUGUGAUG
rnacentral:lncRNA from 1 species